UACGUAGGGGGCGAGCGUUGUCCGGAUUUAUUGGGCGUAAAGAGCGUGUAGGCGGCCAGGUAGGUCUGCUGUGAAAACUCGAGGCUCAACCUCGAGAUGUCGGCGGAAACCAUCUGGCUAGAGUCCGGAAGAGGAGAGUGGAAUUCCUGGUGUAGCGGUGAAAUGCGCAGAUAUCAGGAAGAACACCCGUGGCGAAGGCGGCUCUCUGGGACGGUACUGACGCUGAGACGCGAAAGCGUGGGGAGCGAACAGG
rnacentral:rRNA from 1 species